rnacentral:rRNA from 1 species
CACGACUCCUACGGNGGCAGCAGUGGGGAAUUUUGGACAAUGGGGGAAACCCGUGUAUCCAGCAAGUACGCGCGUGUGUGAAGAAGGCCUUCGGGUUGUAAAGCAACUUUUCGUCCGGGAAAGAAAACUUACUGUCCCUAAUACGGGUGGAGGAUGACGGUACCGGAAGAAUAAGCACCGGCUAACUACGUGCCAGCAGCCGCGGUAAUAC